rnacentral:rRNA from 1 species
UACGUAGGGCGCGAGCGUUGUCCGGAAUUAUUGGGCGUAAAGAGCUCGUAGGCGGCCAGUUGCGUCCGCUGUGAAAUCCCGGGGCUCAACCCCGGGCUUGCAGUGGAUACGGGCUGGCUGGAGGCAGGCAGGGGAGAACGGAAUUCCCGGUGUAGCGGUGAAAUGCGCAGAUAUCAGGAAGAACACCCGUGGCGAAGGCAGAUCUCUGGGCCGUAACUGACGCUGAGGAGCGAAAGCAUGGGGAGCGAACAGG